CAGGGAGCGGGGCAGGGUGGACAGGAGGGCAGCAGCAGCCCGGGACGCCGCUGGCCUGGCACCCCCCGGGCUCUGCGGCAGCGCACGGCCCCGUUUGCAGCCCCUUCACUGCUCUGUAUCCCAGUCCGGUACCCCAAACAAAACACCAGUCACGCUGAAAUGUUUUUUCUUAGAAAAAGCCUGGUCUGAAUAGUUCCAGGGUAGAGGGGGAAAGCCGAGUGUAGAGAGUUAAGGGGCAAUUAAGGCAAAGCAGGACAAGCGCAGCUCCCCGCGCUGCGCUGCGCUCGAGCGAGCAGGCAGAGCCGUGGGAGGGAUCCUGGGCACUGACUCUGCCCGGCCCCGCUUUAACCAGGCAGAGCGGGGAACGAAAGGAGGUCCCUGCCUUUGCAGGGGAACGAAAGGAGGUCCCUGCCUUUGCGGGGGAACUAAAGGAGGUCCCUGCCUUUGCGGGGUUCCUCGUUAAAGCUGCCCACAACUGCUGUGCUCCAUGGCUGGGUUUUAAUUUAUCUCUCUGUUCUGCCCCUUUUCUUUCUUUCAGGAGUGUUUUGGAGUGCCGUUGAAGCCCACAGCUGUGAGCUGACAGAGGGGAGGCUGGGGAUGGAUCUGGUUUCUGCACUGUUUCUUCAGGCAUGAUGACUCCAGCUCCUGGGGAGGAAGGAGCUCUGGCUGAGUCCGGCUCAGGUACUCACUGCCUCUGCCAGCACUCCUUUCCUGCUGUAGAUGCUAAGUGCAGAGCACAGGAAGUCUGAAGAAUCCUGGAUCCUAAUUCAGGCACCUCAGCAAGAUGAGAUGGACUGUGACCUCUAGGGCAGGUCCUCUGUCCUGGCAUUUCCAGGUCUUCAUCUUGAAUCCAGCCAGGUGACUCAAGCCUGAGGACAAAGGAAGGAACAUUCCACAACCUCAUGAAGCAGAGCAGCUCUCCCAAAGGAACACAGAGCAAAUGAAGUCAAAUCAGUUUUACUCUUGGUGUGCAAACAGACAAAGGAGCAUUCAGGGAAGGGCAAGAGCACAAAAUCCUUCCAAGGCAAAGGUUCAGGGCUUGUUCUUUAUGACAGGGGACUUCCCUCUGGAAGAGUCAUUUAUGAACAGUGUUAAGGCAGCAAAUCACAGCUUAAAAAGUUCAAAAGCAAUAAUUCAUUCAAGGAAAAAAA